GACGAACUCUGGCGGCGUGCUUAACACAUGCGAGUCGAACGGAAAGGCCCUGCUUUUGUGGGGUGCUCGAGUGGCGAACGGGUGAGUAACACGUGAGUAACCUGCCCUUGACUUUGGGAUAACUUCAGGAAACUGGGGCUAAUACCGGAUAGGAGCUCCUGCUGCAUGGUGGGGGUUUGAAAGUUUCGGCGGUUGGGGAUGGACUCGCGGCUUAUCAGCUUGUUGGUGGGGUAGUGGCUUACCAAGGCUUUGACGGGUAGCCGGCCUGAGAGGGUGACCGGCCACAUUGGGACUGAGAUACGGCCCAGACUCCUACGGGAGGCAGCAGUGGGGAAUAUUGCACAAUGGGCGGAAGCCUGAUGCAGCAACGCCGCGUGCGGGAUGACGGCAUUCGGGUUGUAAACCGCUUUCGCCUGUGACGAAGCGUGAGUGACGGUAAUGGGUAAAGAAGCACCGGCUAACUACGUG
rnacentral:rRNA from 1 species